UACGUAGGGUGCGAGCGUUAAUCGGAAUUACUGGGCGUAAAGCGUGCGCAGGCGGCGCGUUAAGACAGGUGUGAAAAGCCCCCGAGCUUAACUUGGGAAUUUGCGCUUGUGACUGGCGUGCUGGAGUGUGGCAGAGGGAGGUGGAAUUCCACGUGUAGCAGUGAAAUGCGUAGAGAUGUGGAGGAACACCGAUGGCGAAGGGCAGCCUCCUGGGCCAGCACUGACGCUCAUGCACGAAGCGUGG
rnacentral:rRNA from 1 species